rfam:Oryza glumipatula chromosome 11, whole genome shotgun sequence.
UUCAAGUGCAACCAUGAGUUUCCGUGUCCAACCUUGAUCGUCUGUCUUAUUUGAUUUUUUUUUAUAAUUAGUAUUUUUAUUGUUAUGAGAUGAUAAAACAUGAAUAGGACUUUACGCGUGACUUAUGUUUUAAAUUUUUUUCAAAAAAAAUUUAAAUAAGACGGACGAUCAAAGUUGGGCACGGAAAAUUAUGGCUGCACUUAAA